ACGAAAUGGAGGGUAUUUUGGCGGCGUACAUGAACACAUGAUAACGCAGACAGAAAAACGCCCGAGAAUGAGCUUAAAUUCAUAAAUUCACAAAUCGAUGUUCAAAUUUUGUUCCGUUGGAGAAAGCAACGAACAGAAUGGAGGUACGCUGUUUGUUCUCUUCAACGUUCCAAUUUUGGCGCCCUACAUUAACAAAUGAUAAUUCUGACAAGAAAAGCAAAUAAUUCAAAUAUUUUUGCCAAAAAAGCAGCUUGCAGCAAAGGUUUCCGUCUCAUUAUUCCAUAGAUAUGGGAAAAGAUUUCCCCCGAAGUAGAUAAACCAAGUUAACGACCACAAGUUGAGGGCUCAACAGCUCCCAUUAUAUUGUAGGAGCCGGAGGACAGCCCAAUUCCGAUAAAAAAAAUGCCCAGAAAAAUGCAGAUAGACUUUGCAAUGAGUAUACUCAUUGAUGGAGAUAUGCAAUAAGAAUUUGCAUUUGAAUAGGAUUAUAUAUUGUAGCAGCAGAACCUCCGACGAAGCAGGAACAAAUAUGGGAAAUAAGAUAGUCCCUAAAUCUAAUGGGGCAAGAGGUCGGGUUAGUGGUUCUACUGCUAAAUCUCUCGCUAAAAGUUGCCCUAAUGUCCAGCUGGUCCUUGCAGGCAGGAACAGGUGUGGAUCUCAUUCCAAAGGGAAGAAAAAUGUACAGUUCUAGAAACUGCAAUUUCUACUAAGACAGCUUAUAUAGAUGCAUGUGAUGAUUGGAGGUAUUCAUGUCUAGCAAAGACUUUUCAUGAAAAAUCUGUAGCUGCAGGAGUCCCUGCUAUCACCGCAAGAAGGAUUUACCCUGGAGUGAGCAACUGUGCAGGCAUGCGGAACAACAACGGAGCAAUAACUGAAUGCAAUGCAAGUGGGGAGACUAAAGACGAUGCAGGGCAGCUCAAGCUGGACUCAUCAUUCAGGCAAUGACGAGUCACCCUUCAUUACUUGUGCAUUUUAUUUUCAU